GUGUUCUUCAAAGAAAAUGUCCACACUUCUGUAGAACCUGUGAACAUUGCAUGGCAUUUAAAGGACUUGCUGAAAAUGUAGAUGCUAAUCUAAUCUAAAGGUUGCCUGAACUGAACAAACUCAUGUUGUGGCUAUCUGAACUUGGUGGCACUAAGGAAGUCACCAGCCAGGACCAAUGAAACAAACUACAAAAAUGACGAGCCAAGUGGAAAGUGGCAUUCCCGUAGACGUGAGUAUAGUGAAUUUAUUUAUGGUACUGGGAAUGCUUGGGUUGUCGAAUACGGCAUGACUGACACCGAUUAAGUGCACCGCGAGUACACCAAAUGCCGGAAACUGCAAAAUUUGAAAUCCCAAUUCAGCAUAGUUGGCCCUUCUGUGGUAUAGCUCCAUAAGCUGUACCAAGCCCAUUACCUUCAGACUCCACAAUGAGCCUAACUACUGGGAAGAACAACAAACAGUAACACCUGCCAGCAGAUUUUUUAUUCUCAAGUGUAGCUCAGACCUUACAGUGACAACCUCAGCAUUAUUGAAUGGCAAAGACAACGGCAGUAACAGAAACUGAAUUUUUAAAGUUGAAUGAUAACAGUUUUCAUCAGUUUUAUUUGCAAUCUUGUCAUACCUGCAAUGAUAAUUAAAUUUACUUCUAAGAAUACA